rnacentral:tRNA from 1 species
GGAUUGUGGCUUAGUGGUAGAGUGUUUGCCUAGUAUGUGUGAGGCCCUGAGUUUGAUUCUCAGCACCA